UUGAGUAUAAGCAAUUGCUUGUAGGAUUGACAGAAGGACCAGCUUUAGAGUCAGUAGUUGGAAGUCUGUUCAGUAACUUUGUUCACUGUGUAGAUUAUAAAUAGCACAAAAUUAAUUAGUGCUUAAUCAGCAGCUCAUCACUUGAAGUACAUGUAAGAGCCUGUGACCGAUACCAAGAUCUCAAUGACUGCCAGGGAAACUGGCAAUGUUCAAAGGCUGCAGCAAGUGCUCAUCCUUCAUCACUAGCCUCAGUGUGCAAUCAAUCUAAAGCAGUGUGGAACUGUGGAUGUCUUCAGUAUCAGAGAUUCUUUGGCUGUCUCUGCUGCUGCUUCUCCUGCACCACAAGUUUGUGUGGAACUGUGGAUGUACUGCCAGAUGUGUGGAACUGUGGAUGUACUGCCAGAGCUUCUUUGGUUGUUUCUACUGCUGAUCCUUCUGCACUGAAAGUAUAGUAUGGAAGUGUGGAUGUCCUCAGUAGCAGAGCUUCUUUGGUUGUUUCUGCUACUGCUUCUUCUGCAUCAGAAGUGUAGUGUGGAACUGUGGAUGUCCUAUCAGAUCUUUGGUUGUUUCUACUGCUGAUUCUUCUGCAUCAAAAUUAUAGUGCUGAAGUGUGGAUGGGGUUAAGUAGCAGAGCUUCUUUGGUUGUUUCUUCUACUGCUUCUUUGGUUGUUUCUUCUACUGCUUCUUCUGCAUCAAAAAUAUAGUGUGGGACUGUGGAUGUCUUCAGUAGUAAAGCUUCUUUGGUUGUUUCUGCUGUUUCUCCUGCUGCUGCUUGUUCAUCAAAUGUAGGUUUGGGACUGUGGAUGUCCUCACAACCAGAACUUCUGUGGUUGUUUCCUCUGCUGCUUCUUGUUCAUCAUAUGUAGUGUGGCACUGUAGGUGUUUCUGCUACUGCUGCUUGUUCAUCAAAUGCAGUGUGGAACUGUGGAUGUCCUCAGCAUCAGAGAUUCUUUUGGUGGUUUCUUCUGGUGCUGCUUCUUUUUCUUUUUGCCUUCAUCAGCCUUAAGACAAAGGAGUGAAGCUGCACCAUGAAUGCCUCUUUCCAUGGGAUGAAAGAAAUAAACUCUUGCCAUUGAUUGUAGCUUUGAGGAACAGCUGCAUAUAUCAAGGUUCAGGUGGUAACUCUUGUGAGCAGGAAGAAGCCUAAUUGCUCUUCUUUCUUACUACUUGAUGAUCAUGAUAGAUAAGGAUUCUUCAUCCUGUCUUGUAAUGAAAGUUCAACAUUGAAAUAAUAUUGAAAUCAGACUUGUCUUUUGUGCUUUAA